UACGGAGGGUGCAAGCGUUAUCCGGAUUCACUGGGUUUAAAGGGUGCGUAGGUGGCGUGGUAAGUCAGUGGUGAAAUCUCCAAGCUUAACUUGGAAACUGCCGUUGAUACUAUCAUUCUUGAAUAUCGUGGAGGUAAGCGGAAUAUGUCAUGUAGCGGUGAAAUGCUUAGAUAUGACAUAGAACACCGAUUGCGAAGGCAGCUUGCUACACGAUCAUUGACACUGAGGCACGAAAGCGUGGGGAUCAAACAGG
rnacentral:rRNA from 1 species